UACGAAGGGGGCUAGCGUUGCUCGGAAUCACUGGGCGUAAAGGGUGCGUAGGCGGGUCUUUAAGUCAGGGGUGAAAUCCUGGAGCUCAACUCCAGAACUGCCUUUGAUACUGAAGAUCUUGAGUUCGGGAGAGGUGAGUGGAACUGCGAGUGUAGAGGUGAAAUUCGUAGAUAUUCGCAAGAACACCAGUGGCGAAGGCGGACUCACUGGCCUGAUACUGACGCUGAGGCACGAAAGCGUGGGGAGCAAACAGG
rnacentral:rRNA from 1 species